rnacentral:lncRNA from 1 species
AUGCUGUCAUCCUAACUUGAGCUUGUUGUCGAACUUUCGAAAGUAAGUCUAGAUUGGCUCUCCGACAUUCUGAAUUACUCGGCUUAUUAUAUUAUUCCACUCUUGCUGAUGGCAAUCCGAUAUCAAGUGCAAUCAUCACCUCUGUUUCAUAGACCCGAUUGAAUGGCGAUUCUCUCAUCGGUAUGCGAGGAGUUGUCUGAUAUGCCCA